rnacentral:misc_RNA from 1 species
GGAUUCUAUUCAUCACUGUAACUUGCACACACAGCAGAGAGAUAAGCGAAAGUACAACCACAAUGCCGGAAUCACAUCCGAUGAUUGGUGGAGAUGGCACGUACAGCUACACAAAAAACUCCUACUUACAGAGAGAAGGCAUAAAAUAUGCUAAGGGGCUGAUUGAUGAGACAAUUGCUCACAAGCUUGACAUAAAAGAUCUGCUUUCUAAUUCAAGGUCUUUUAAGAUUGCAGAUUUGGGAUGUUCUGUUGGACCCAACACCUUUAUUUGCAUGGAAAGUGUUAUUCAAGCUGUGAAACAUAAGUUCCAAUCCCAUGGUCUCACUGAACAAAUUCCUGAUUUUCAAGUUUUCUUUAGUGAUCAUACCUUCAAUGAUUUCAAUACUCUCUUCAGAUCUCUCCCUCCAGAAAGACCAUAUUUUGCUGCUGGUGUGCCAGGGUCAUUCCACGGGAGGCUAUUCCCUGAGUCCUCUGUUCAUUUUGUCCAUAGCUCCCAUGCUUUACAUUGGAUCUCCCAGGUGCCAAAAGAGAUCCUGGAUAAGAGCUCACCUGCAUGGAACAAGGGCAGAAUUUACUACACAGGUGCACCAGAUGAAGUUGGAAAAGCUUAUGCCAUCCAGUUUGCCAAGGACGUGGAGAUAUUUCUGGACGCUAGAGCUAAAGAGCUUGUGGUUGGUGGUAUGAUGGUGCUUAUUUUGCCUGGAAUCCGUAAUGGGAUUUCUCAUUCCUGUGCAGUAGUUAAUGUGAUGCUCGAUCUUUUAGGAUCCUGCCUCAUGGAUAUGUGUAAAGAGGGAUUGGUGAGCGAAGCUCAAGUGGACUCUUUCAAUUUGCCUAUGUAUGUUCCCUCUCCCAAGGAGAUGAUAGAGCUUGUAGAAAGAAAUGGGAGCUUCAAAAUUGAGCGAAUGGAGCUAUUUGACCCUGUACCUGGCAAUGAAGCGCAAAUCUUGCGCAGCGGCCAUGCAUGGAAGAUGCACUUCAGGGCUGGAUUGGAGGGUGUUUUUAGCAAGCAUUUUGCAAGUGAGACUAUAGAUGAAUUGUUUGAUCGUUUUCCCAACAAGGCGGCAGAAAAACUAAAGGCCACCUCAACUGAAACAACUCUUCUAUUUAUUGCACUAAAACGCAAAUGAUCC